rnacentral:rRNA from 1 species
GAUGAACGCUGGCGGCGUGCCUAAUACAUGCAAGUCGAACGAACAGACGAUGAGUUUACUCCUCUGACGUUAGCGACGGACGGGUGAGUAACACGUGGAUAACCUACCUAUAAGACUUGGAUCACUUCGACAAACCGGAGCUCUUACCAGAUAAUUUCUGUAACCGCAUGGGUCGAUAGUGAAGGACGGGUUUGCUGUCACCUAUCGGUGGAUCCGCGUCGCAUUAGCUUGUUGGUAAGGUAACGGUUUACCAAGGAGACGAUGCGUAGACGACCUGAGAGGGUGGUCGGCCACACUGGAACUAAGACAAGGUUCAGACUCCUACGGGAGGCAGAAGUAGGGAAUCUUCCGCAAUGGGCGAAAUCCUGCCGGAGCAACGCGGCGGGAGUGAUGACGGUCUUCGGAUCGUAAAACUCUGUUAUUAGGGAAGAACAAAUGUGUAAGUAACUAUGCACGUCGUGACGGUACCUAAUCAGAAAGCCACGGCUAACUACGUG